rnacentral:rRNA from 1 species
ACCUACCCGGUUACCAAACCCAGUCAAACUCCGAAUGGCUGCAAUCAUACCUGGGAGUCAGACUGCGACUAAUAAGGGCCGUAGUCAAAAGGGAAACAGCCCAGACCAUCAGCUAAGGUCCCCAAUGCCGUGCUAAGUGGCGAAGGAUGUGGCAUUUCAUAAACAACCAGGAUGUUGGCUCAGAAGCAGCCACCAUUUAAAGAGUGCGUAAUAGCUCACUGGUCGAGAGACGCUGCGCCGAAAAUGUCCGGGGCUCAAGCACGGAACCGAAGCUAUGGCAUGAUAGCAAUAUCAUGGGUAGGGGAGCGUUCUUAUAAGGAAGAAGCAUGACCGGAAGGACAUGUGGACGAAUAAGAAGUGAGAAUGCCGGUAUGAGUAUCGAAAAGAAAGGUGAGAAUCCUUUCCACCGAAAGCCCGAGGGUUCCUGAGCAACGAUCGUCGACUCAGGGUAAGUCGGGACCUAAGCCGAGGCGAGAAGCGUAGGCGAUGGACAACAGGUUGAAAUUCCUGUACCGGAUCAAGUCGAUCGAGCGAAGGAGCGACGCAGGAGGGCACAUGAUCGCGCGGCUGGAAGAGCGCGUCCAAGUGCGUAUGUUGCAGCAGAGGAAAACCCCUGCAGCUAAAAGCAGAGACAUGAUGGGGAGUUAAAGGAAACUUUGACGAACUCAUGAAUCCCACACUGCCAAGAAAAACUUCUAGCGAGACAAGAUCCGCCCGUACCGUAAACCGACACAGGUAGGCGGGGAGAGAAUCCUAAGGUGCGCGGGAAAACCCUCGUUAAGGAACUCGGCAAAUUGCAUCCGUAACCUAGGGAGAAGGAUGGCCCCCGGUCAGUGAAGAGCAGAAACGCUCAGAGCUAAAAGGGGCGGCAGAAAAGAGGCCCAAGCAACUGUUUACCAAAAACACAGGUGCCUGCGAAAGCGAAAGCUGAAGUAUAGGUGCUGACGCCUGCCCGGUGCCGGAAGGUUAAGGAGAGAAGUUAGCGAAAGCGAAGCAUCGAACUGAAGCCCCGGUGAACGGCGGCCGUAACUAUAACGGUCCUAAGGUAGCGAAAUUCCUUGUCGGGUAAGUUCCGACCCGCAUGAAAGGCGUAAUGAUUUGGGCACUGUCUCAACGAGGGGCCCGGUGAAAUUGAAAUACCUGUGAAGAUGCAGGUUACCCGCGACUGGACAGAAAGACCCCAUGGAGCUUCACUGCAGCUUGAGAUUGAAUCCCGGUGACAGAUGCACAGGAUAGGUGGGAGGCGCCGAAGCAUUGCCCUAGGGCGGUGCGGAGCCGAUGUUGGGAUACCACCCUUCUGUUGCUGAGAUUCUAACGCGAGGAGUAACGACCCUGCGGACCCUCUCAGGCAGGCGGUUUGACUGGGGCGGUCGCCUCCGAAAG